rnacentral:rRNA from 1 species
CGAGGUGAGUAAUGUCUGGGAAACUGCCUGAUGGAGGGGGAUAACUACUGGAAACGGUAGCUAAUACCGCAUAACGUCGCAAGACCAAAGAGGGGGACCUUGGGCCUCUUGCCAUCGGAUGUGCCCAGAUGGGAUUAGCUAGUAGGUGGGGUAAAGGCUCACCUAGGCGACGAUCCCUAGCUGGUCUGAGAGGAUGACCAGCCACACUGGAACUGAGACACGGUCCAG